rnacentral:SRP_RNA from 1 species
GAGUAGGCUUAGGUUGGGAAUCCGGUCCUAUUCCUGUUACCGUAAAUGGACCUCAUGACGGAACUGAAGCUUAGGGGAAGGUAUAUUAAUUAGUUAAUUGCCUUGGUCUGGACAAAGACCUUCUGCCCUAUUUGGUUGAUAUUUUUGGAAAUCCAGUCAGACUAGGAAUAGAGCAGCUGUAACCGUUAAUAUUGGCGCUUGUAGGAUCACAGAAGAGAGGAAGGAUCAAGAUCACAACUCUCUAUUUUAUAUAUCGACCUUUGGGCGUGCCUACAU